rnacentral:misc_RNA from 1 species
AAAAAAUUACAAUUAAAUAUCAAGAUUUUAGAGAUUACAACAUAAUCAAAUCAAUUUAGAAGCUAAAACAAAUUCAAUAUAAUGAAAAUUUCGUAUCUUAUGUGUGAGAGACUAAAGUACAGAGUUAAAAGUUACCUUGUUUGGAAAUGAAUAUAUUUCUCGUGCAUGUAAGCAGAUUCAGAAGUUACCUUCCCUGCAUUCUGCCAAUCCAAGAAGAUAUCAAGGAUUAUAUAAUUGUCAAUGACCCACAAUGUCUUCCUGGCUCCAGCUGCGAUCAAGUUACGACAAGGCAAGAAAAAAAUCCUGUAUUUGACGGAGCCAUAGCCGAG